rnacentral:rRNA from 1 species
AGUCGAACGAAGCACUUUGAUCGAUUUCUUCGGAUUGAAAUUUUAGUGACUGAGUGGCGGACGGGUGAGUAACGCGUGGGUAACCUGCCUCACACAGGGGGAUAACAGUUGGAAACGGCUGCUAAUACCGCAUAAGCGCACAGUACCGCAUGGUACAGUGUGAAAAACUCCGGUGGUGUGAGAUGGACCCGCGUCUGAUUAGCUAGUUGGCAGGGCAACGGCCUACCAAGGCGACGAUCAGUAGCCGACCUGAGAGGGUGACCGGCCACAUUGGGACUGAGACACGGCCCAAACUCCUACGGGAGGCAGCAGUGGGGAAUAUUGCACAAUGGGGGAAACCCUGAUGCAGCGACGCCGCGUGAGCGAAGAAGUAUUUCGGUAUGUAAAGCUCUAUCAGCAGGGAAGAAGAAAUGACGGUACCUGACUAAGAAGCACCGGCUAAAUACGUGCCAGCAGCCGCGGUAAUACGUAUGGUGCAAGCGUUAUCCGGAUUUACUGGGUGUAAAGGGAGCGCAGGCGGAAGGCUAAGUCUGAUGUGAAAGCCCGGGGCUCAACCCCGGUACUGCAUUGGAAACUGGUCAUCUAGAGUGUCGGAGGGGUAAGUGGAAUUCCUAGUGUAGCGGUGAAAUGCGUAGAUAUUAGGAGGAACACCAGUGGCGAAGGCGGCUUACUGGACGAUAACUGACGCUGAGGCUCGAAAGCGUGGGGAGCAAACAGGAUUAGAUACCC